UACGGAGGGGGCUAGCGUUGUUCGGAAUUACUGGGCGUAAAGCGCACGUAGGCGGCUUUGUAAGUCAGGGGUGAAAGCCUGGAGCUCAACUCCAGAACCGCCUUUGAGACUGCAUCGCUUGAAUCCGGGAGAGGUGAGUGGAAUUCCGAGUGUAGAGGUGAAAUUCGUAGAUAUUCGGAAGAACACCAGUGGCGAAGGCGGCUCACUGGACCGGUAUUGACGCUGAGGUGCGAAAGCGUGGGGAGCAAACAGG
rnacentral:rRNA from 1 species